rnacentral:rRNA from 1 species
UUUGACCUCAAAUCAGGUAGGACUACCCGCUGAACUUAAGCAUAUCAAUAAGCGGAGGAAAAGAAACUAACGAGGAUUCCCCUAGUAACUGCGAGUGAAGCGGGAAGAGCUCAAAUUUCGAAUUCUGGCGG